CCUACGGGCGGCUGCAGUGGGGAAUAUUGCACAAUGGGCGCAAGCCUGAUGCAGCCAUGCCGCGUGUGUGAAGAAGGCCUUCGGGUUGUAAAGCACUUUCAGCGGGGAGGAAGGCGUUAAGGUUAAUAACCUUGGCGAUUGACGUUACCCGCAGAAGAAGCACCGGCUAACUCCGUGCCAGCAGCCGCGGUAAUACGGAGGGUGCAAGCGUUAAUCGGAAUUACUGGGCGUAAAGCGCACGCAGGCGGUCUGUCAAGUCGGAUGUGAAAUCCCCGGGCUCAACCUGGGAACUGCAUUCGAAACUGGCAGGCUAGAGUCUUGUAGAGGUGGGUAGAAUUCCAGGUGUAGCGGUGAAAUGCGUAGAGAUCUGGAGGAAUACCGGUGGCGAAGGCGGCCCCCUGGACAAAGACUGACGCUCAGGUGCGAAAGCGUGGGGAGCAAACAGGAUUAGAUACCCCUGUAGUC
rnacentral:rRNA from 1 species